AGCAGCCGCGGUAAUUCCAGCUCCAAUAGCGUAUAUUAAAGUUGUUGCAGUUAAAAAGCUCGUAGUUGAAUUUCGGGAUCAAUAUGUUUGGUCGUGCCUCGGUACGUACUAGCUUAUUGGUUUCUCCUUUCUGAAGAACCAUGAUGUCAUUCAUUUGGUGUCGUGGGGAAUCAGGACUGUUACUUUGAAAAAAUUAGAGUGUUUAAAGCAGGCUCGCGCUUGAAUACAUUAGCAUGGAAUAAUGAAAUAGGACGUUUGAUUCUAUUUUGUUGGUUUCUAGGAUCGACGUAAUGAUUAAUAGGGAUAGUUGGGGGCAUUAGUAUUCGAUUGUCAGAGGUGAAAUUCUUGGAUUAUUGGAAGACUAACUACUGCGAAAGCAUUUGCCAAGGAUGUCUUCAUUAAUCAAGAACGAAAGUUAGGGGAUCGAAGACGAUCGAUACCGUCGUAGUCUUAA
rnacentral:misc_RNA from 1 species